AAACUGCAUUGACCCUCUUUCUCUUUCCCUGCAAGCGGACUCAGGCACCUUUCAUUUGCACCCAUUCUCUACACUCUGUGAACACUCUUGUGCACCUCUCUUGAUGCCACUGUGUUCUCACUGUUAAUCUCCUUGUCUUUCACCCUCACCAUCCCUGUAGCCCCAUGGCCUAGCACAUGCCUGGUUCUGCCUAUCACAGGAUCUGUAAGGGCUUACUGAAGUGAAGUAAGUUGUAAUGAAAUGAAAGCUUCCUAGGUUGGUGCUGCCUGACCUCUAUCCAGUUAAUCUAUGAUCAGGGUGGCUGUUGAUUCUGUGGUACGCUAUGCCUGUUUGAUUCUUUAUGACAGAAUGUGAUUUGCCUUGCUCUAUUUUCAUCACAGUUUACAUGCUUUUAAGGCAAGAGAACCCCAUUUUCUGAUUUCUAAAGAUUUCCCACCCAACUUCUGUUCAAAUAUUUUGUCAAACAAUGGAAAAAGCCAAAGGCAGUUAAGUCCAUGAAUGGGGUUACAUUGCAUAGGCAAAUAAAUCUUCCCCUAGCUCUCUCCUUUCAAAGGGAUGGCCUCAAUAAAUUCUUCAAGUAAGCUACUUUAAAAAUAUCUCUUCUACCACUAUUUACCUCAUUUGAAUCUAUCUGAAUAUGGAACAGAGUAGGAACAUGUGAAAUGU
rnacentral:lncRNA from 1 species